AUUGAACGCUGGCGGCAUGCCUUACACAUGCAAGUCGAACGGCAGCGCGGGAGCAAUCCUAGCGGCGAGUGGCGAACGGGUGAGUAAUGCAUCGGAACGUGCCUAGUAGUGGGGGAUAACUGCUCGAAAGAGCAGCUAAUACCGCAUACGACCUGAGGGUGAAAGGGGGGGAUCGCACGACCUCUCGCUAUUAGAGCGGACGAUGGCGGAUUAGCUAGUUGGUGGGGUAAAGGCCCACCAAGGCAACGAUCCGUAGCCGGUAUGAGAGGACGAUCAGCCACACUGGGACUGGGACACGGCCCAGACUCCUACGGGAGGCAGCAGUGGGGAAUUUUGGGCAAUGGACGCAAGUCUGAUCCAGCCAUGCCGCGUGCGGGAAGAAGGCCUUCGGGUUGUAAACCGCUUUUGUCAGGGAAGAAAUCUUCUGGGCUAAUACCCUGGGAGGAUGACGGUACCUGAAGAAUAAGCACCGGCUAACUACGUGCCAGCCGCCGCCGUAAGAC
rnacentral:rRNA from 1 species